GACGAACGCUGGCGGCGUGCUUAACACAUGCAAGUCGAACGGAAAGGCCCUGCUUUUGUGUGGUGCUCGAGUGGCGAACGGGUGAGUAACACGUGAGUAACCUGCCCUUGACUUUGGGAUAACUUCAGGAAACUGGGGCUAAUACCGGAUAGGAGCUCCUGCUGCAUGGUGGGGGUUGGAAAGUUUCGGCGGUUGGGGAUGGACUCGCGGCUUAUCCGCUUGUUGGGGGGGUAGUGGCUUACCAAGGCUUUGACGGGUAGCCGGCCUGAGAGGGUGACCGGCCACAUGGGGACUGAGAUACGGCCCAGACUCCUACGGGAGGCAGCAGUGGGGAAUAUUGCACAAUGGGCGGAAGCCUGAUGCAGCGACGCCGCGUGCGGGAUGACGGCCUUCGGGGUGUAAACCGCUUUCGCCUGUGACGAAGCGUGAGUGACGGUAAUGGGUAAGGAAGCACCGGCUAACUACGUG
rnacentral:rRNA from 1 species